AAAGUGGAUCAAGCGGUCGCUGCUCGCCAGGUCGCGAGACGUGGCGGGGAGAGGAAAGUCCGGACUCCAUAGGACAGGGUGGCUGUUAACGGCGGCCCCGAGCGAUCGGGGGAAAGUGCCACAGAAAAGAUACCGCCCCGUGAAAUAAAGCUAGCGUAUCUCUCAGCCAAUGGCUGGUGGUUCUCGGCGUAUUUCACGGGGUAAGGGUGAAAAGGCGAGGUAAGAGCUCACCGGUCUGCCAGUAAUGGUAGAUGCCUGGUAAACCCCACCUGGAGCAAGACCAAAUAGGAGGGUUGGGUGGUCCGCCCAUAGCCCUCGGGUAAGGUCGCCAGACCUUAUGAGCAAUCAUAGGGCAAGAUGAAUGAUCGCUGUGGCUCCUCAUAGGAGCCGCGACAGAAUCCGGCUUAUCGAUCCACUUUAGCC
rfam:Deltaproteobacteria bacterium RIFCSPLOWO2_02_56_12 rifcsplowo2_02_sub10_scaffold_287, whole genome shotgun sequence.